rnacentral:sRNA from 1 species
CGCUUCUCCCCGGAGUCAGUACAACUUCAUCGCAGAUGUGGUGGAGAAGACAGCACCUGCCGUGGUCUAUAUCGAGAUCCUGGACCGGCACCCUUUCUUGGGCCGCGAGGUCCCUAUCUCGAACGGCUCAGGAUUCGUGGUGGCUGCCGAUGGGCUCAUUGUCACCAACGCCCAUGUGGUGGCUGAUCGGCGCAGAGUCCGUGUGAGACUGCUAAGCGGCGACACGUAUGAGGCCGUGGUCACAGCUGUGGAUCCCGUGGCAGACAUCGCAACGCUGAGGAUUCAGACUAAGGAGCCUCUCCCCACGCUGCCUCUGGGACGCUCAGCUGAUGUCCGGCAAGGGGAGUUUGUUGUUGCCAUGGGAAGUCCCUUUGCACUGCAGAACACGAUCACAUCCGGCAUUGUUAGCUCUGCUCAGCGUCCAGCCAGAGACCUGGGACUCCCCCAAACCAAUGUGGAAUACAUUCAAACUGAUGCAGCUAUUGAUGUGCGUCCUGAUAGGAGAGAAAUGACAAAUGAUGGGGGAGGGGGGAGAGGCUGUGUGGUACAAGCACCAACUGAUAUAUGGUGGAUGAGCCUAUAUAGAGCUUAGGCUGCAAAAAUGUGGCCACUUAUUCAUGGGUUGAGAAAGAAGAGAAUUUGGAGAAAGUACUUACAUCCUGGUAUGCCCCCAGACUUAGAAUCCCCAGAUCUCUUUCAUGUUUUCUCCUUGUCCUACAGUUUGGAAACUCUGGAGGUCCCCUGG